rnacentral:pre_miRNA from 1 species
CUUUCAGUGGAGCUUUUUUGUCGGAUUCGCAGCUUUUUUAAAAAAUUCGCGAUCUUUUUUGAAAAGCUGCGAAUCCGACAAAAAAGCUCCACUGAAAGUAC